rnacentral:sRNA from 1 species
AUGUCAGGGUCAAAAACUCUGAAACCACGCAAGCUUGCUUGCUGGUGGUUGAAAGAGCUUUUGACCCGCCGAAACAUGAGGACGAAGUGGUACUUCGGUGCCACGGGAGUCCGAAUGUUUCGCAGGAUCGUGAAAGCACGAAGUGCGGAACGAUCCGUGACA